rnacentral:rRNA from 1 species
UACGGAGGGGGCUAGCGUUGUUCGGAAUUACUGGGCGUAAAGCGCACGUAGGCGGCUUUGUAAGUUAGAGGUGAAAGCCCGGGGCUCAACUCCGGAAUUGCCUUUAAGACUGCAUCGCUCGAAUUGUGGAGAGGUAAGUGGAAUUCCGAGUGUAGAGGUGAAAUUCGUAGAUAUUCGGAAGAACACCAGUGGCGAAGGCGACUUACUGGACACAUAUUGACGCUGAGGUGCGAAAAGCGUGGGGGAGCAAACAGG